UUAAGACACCAUUUUCCAUACAAUCACCAAAGUUAAGCAAUGUCGAGCCUGGUCAGUACAUAGAUGGGUGACUGCUUGGGAAUACAAGGUGCUGUAA